rnacentral:rRNA from 1 species
UGGGGAAUAUUGCACAAUGGGCGCAAGCCUGAUGCAGCCAUGCCGCGUGUAUGAAGAAGGCCUUCGGGUUGUAAAGUACUUUCAGCGGGGAGGAAGGCGAUAAGGUUAAUAACCUUGUCGAUUGACGUUAACCGCAGAAGAAGCACCGGCUAACUCCGUGCCAGCAGCCGCGGUAAUACGGAGGGUGCAAGCGUUAAUCGGAAUUACUGGGCGUAAAGCGCACGCAGGCGGUCUGUCAAGUCGGAUGUGAAAUCCCCGGGCUCAACCUGGGAACUGCAUUCGAAACUGGCAGGCUAGAGUCUUGUAGAGGGGGGUAGAAUUCCAGGUGUAGCGGUGAAAUGCGUAGAGAUCUGGAGGAAUACCGGUGGCGAAGGCGGCCCCCUGGACAAAGACUGACGCUCAGGUGCGAAAGCGUGGGGAGCAAACA